AUGUUUGCGAGUGCAGCAUCAUCAAGAUUCACAUAGUUUCAGCAUCUUUGGCCUCUGAUAUCAUAUGAGAAUCUUGAUGAUGCUGCACCAGCAAUUGG
rfam:Musa acuminata subsp. malaccensis Doubled-haploid Pahang (DH-Pahang) genomic chromosome, chr4